UGGGCCAACCCUGACGCUCAGGCACGAAGCGUGGGGAGCAAACAGGAUUAGAUACCCUGGUAGUCCACGCCCUAAACGAUGCUCACUAGGUGUUGGGGAAGCGAUUCCUUGGUACCGUAGCUAACGCGUGAAGUGAACCGCCUGGGGAGUACGGCCGCAAGGUUAAAACUCAAAGGAAUUGACGGGGACCCGCACAAGCGGUGGAUGAUGUGGAUUAAUUCGAUGCAACGCGAACAACCUUACCUACCCUUGACAUGUCCGGAAGGCUGCUGAAAGGCGGGUGUGCCCGAAAGGGAACCGGAACACAGGUGCUGCAUGGCUGUCGUCAGUUA
rnacentral:rRNA from 1 species